rnacentral:rRNA from 1 species
CUACGGAGGGAGCAAGCGUUAUUCGGAAUCACUGGGCGUAAAGGACGCGUAGGCGGGUUUGUAAGUCAGGUGUGAAAUCCUACAGCUCAACUGUAGAACUGCACUUGAAACUACAGACCUAGAGUAUGGAAGGGGCAGAUGGAAUUAGUGGUGUAGGGGUAAAAUCCGUAGAUAUCACUAGGAAUACCGAAAGCGAAGGCGAUCUGCUGGGACAUUACUGACGCUGAGGCGUGAAAGCGUGGGGAGCAAACAGGAUUAGAAACCCGGGUAGUCC